UACAGAGGGUGCAAGCGUUGUUCGGAAUCACUGGGCGUAAAGAGUUCGUAGGCGGACCAAUUAGUAUAGGGUUAAAUCCCGGGGCCUAACCCCGGACCUGCUCUGUAAACGGUUGGUCUAGAGUAUUGGAGAGGAUAGCGGAAUACCUGGUGUAGAGGUGAAAUUCGUAGAUAUCAGGUGGAACACCAGAGGCGAAGGCGGCUAUCUGGCCAAGCACUGACGCUAAAGAACGAAAGCAUGGGGAGCAAACAGG
rnacentral:rRNA from 1 species